rnacentral:rRNA from 1 species
CCUACGGGUGGCAGCAGUAGGGAAUCUUCCACAAUGGACGAAAGUCUGAUGGAGCAACGCCGCGUGAGUGAAGAAGGGUUUCGGCUCGUAAAGCUCUGUUGGCAGUGAAGAAAGAUAGAGGUGCUAACUAGCCUUUAUUUGACGGUAAUUACUUAGAAAGUCCCGGCUAACUACGUGCCAGCAGCCGCGGUAAUACGUAGGUGGCAAGCGUUGUCCGGAUUUAUUGGGCGUAAAGCGAGUGCAGGCGGUUCAGUAAGUCUGAUGUGAAAGCCUUCGGCUCAACCGGAGAAUUGCAUUAGAAACUGGAGAACGUGAGGGGAGAAGAGGAGGGUGGAACUCCAGGUGUAGCGGUGGAAUGCGUAGAUAUAGGGAAGAACACCAGUGGCGAAGGCGGCUUUCUGGGCUGCAACUGACGCUGAGGCUCGAAAGCAUGGGUAGCGAACAGGAUUAGAUACCCUGGUAGUC